AAAAGAAUGAAGGGGAGCUUAUACGGCUGAGAGGUGACGAUGAAAUGCGUUACGACCCUAUGACCUGAUUUGGAUAAUGCCAACGUAGGGAGAUUUGCUAUAUUGACG
rfam:Peptostreptococcaceae bacterium oral taxon 113 str. W5053 genomic scaffold Scaffold228, whole genome shotgun sequence.